rnacentral:rRNA from 1 species
CAGCAGCCACGGGAAUACGUAGGUGGCAAGCGUUGUCCGGAAUUAUUGAGCGUAAAGGGCUCGCAGGCGGUUUCUUAAGUCUGAUGUGAAAGCCCCCGGCUCAGCCGGGGAGGGUCAUUGGAAACUGGGAAACUUGAGUGCAGAAGAGGAGAGUGGAAUUCCACGUGUAGCGGUGAAAUGCGUAGAGAUGUGGAGGAACACCAGUGGCGAAGGCGACUCUCUGGUCUGUAACUGACGCUGAGGAGCGAAAGCGUGGGGAGCGAACAGGAUUAGAUACCCCGGUAGUCCCUGUCUCUUAUAC